rnacentral:tRNA from 2 species
GUCUUCGUAGUGAAACGGAUAUCACGCUUGGCUUCGAACCAAGUAAUCCAGGUUCGAAUCCUGGCGAAGGCA